AUUGAACGCUGGCGGCAGGCCUAACACAUGCAAGUCGAACGAACUCUUCGGAGUUAGUGGCGGACGGGUGAGUAACACGUGGGAACGUGCCUUUAGGUUCGGAAUAACUCAGGGAAACUUGUGCUAAUACCGAAUGUGCCCUUCGGGGGAAAGAUUUAUCGCCUUUAGAGCGGCCCGCGUCUGAUUAGCUAGUUGGUGAGGUAAAGGCUCACCAAGGCUACGAUCAGUAGCUGGUCUGAGAGGAUGACCAGCCACAUUGGGACUGAGACACGGCCCAAACUCCUACGGGAGGCAGCAGUGGGGAAUCUUGCGCAAUGGGCGAAAGCCUGACGCAGCCAUGCCGCGUGGAUGAUGAAGGUCUUAGGAUUGUAAAAUCCUUUCACCGGUGAAGAUAAUGACUGUAGCCGGAGAAGAAGCCCCGGCUAACUUCGUGCCAGCCGCCGCAGUAAAAC
rnacentral:rRNA from 1 species